AGCUCAAAGAGCGUGAUGAGGCCCGACGGCGACUCCCUCAUGAACUUGGUGUACCAGUGGUGCAUGUCCUCCUCCAGGAUGUCGUCCAUGUUGGAGCCAUAAGCGCCCAUGCCGGCCGGACUGCUCUUCACAAUGCGCAGGAGCCAAAAGCAGACAUAACCCUUUAAUGGGAUAACAGGGGCAAGACUUCUCAGAAGCUCCGGGACACGGCACCGUGAUGGGUGAGGUCUUGCUUUUCCGAGGCAAGACGCCGACCUUCCUCGAAUGAGCAGACACCAGAGCCUUAUUUUGUACUUAAGUCACUUGUAUGUUUGGCAUCAAGCUUCCUUUCCAUUCAAAAUAGAACUCAAAUCACUACGAGAGGUAGUAGCCUGGGGAGGGGGGGGGGGGGGGGUUGGUCGGUGCCCCCGAACCAAUGUUUUUCUAUCGGGCGAAAAGUCCAUCGAAGAAUGUAUUUUGACUGGGAAACUUUCGGCGGUCCACAAUAAAAGGCCACUAAAAUGUGCGGUGUAUAUUU